GUUCAAAGCAUUUCUCUCACACUCUGCCUAUCUCCUCAAAGGCCUAACUGGAACUAAAGAAGCUGUCCUAAAUAUUUCACACACAUAACUGACAUUAAGAGGAAGUUUGGAUGGGAAGUCGCCUGGAAGUUGUGACAACGACAUGUGACAGUUUUUUCACAGGACACUAGAAACUAGAACUACAUAAACUGAAAGAUUAGAAAAGCAUUGGUCACAGACAUAUUUUUCAAAGCAAAAACACCAAAGUUGGUUAAUAAAUACCUUUGGAUCUCUGGUCGACCUGAGGAAUUUUAGACCUUUCUUCCUUCAAGAUCAAGUCUGGGCGAGUCUAGAUGAGUGCGCACGAACUAAAAGAAGUGAAAGUUUCUGAAACUUCUCUUGAACAGCCUGAGCAGUGUCUCGCAGUCUGUAAGGACACAGAUCAUCGGAAAUUAGCCAUAUGGAGUAUCAUAUGUGGCCUUUCCUGCUUUGGAAUUAUGUCCCUUAUGUACUCUGUCAAGGCACGAGAGACAAGAAAAAGACUUGAUGAUCGCCAGGAGACAAGGGAUAUGGCUAAGAAAUACGCCGACAAAGCUCGUAAAUGGGGAAUUGGGUCCAUUGUGGCCUGGGUGGUUUUAAUUCUCAUCUUUCCAUUACUGAUUGCAUUUCUGUCCUACAUUGUAACCUUCAUAAAUUAACACUGCAGAAGCUUUUCUACAGCUAAAUGAACUGUAAGAGCGCAGAAACGAGUCUUAUUGCUCACAUUGGAGCAUUAACGGUCAUUAUUUAAAUUCAUUGUGGGUUUUGAAUGGUGCUUGCCAAUAGUCUGGAUCAAAAGUCCAAAACUUGCUACCUAGUAUUUAAAAAAAGGAUUCAACAGCUCAACCUUUGCUAAACAAUUUAAAUUUGUAUGCUUUUAGUAUUAACAAAACAUAUUGGAUCCUACUAAUAAGUGAAAUAAUUAUAUCACAGCAAUUAAACCAAUGCAAUUUUUGAAUGCAGUUCAAAAACGGUACAGCAGCUUUCAGGAAUUUGUUACACAUGCAGCAGAUGGAGCCAUGCACACAAAACAAAUCCAUCAACACUGUCCAGACAAAAACUACUUUUACAUUUCAGCAAGUGUUUUUAUUUAGGCUCUUAAUGAAAAUUGGAAAUGAAACGUUGAAACACUCGCAGGGAGUUGAGAUGCGUUACGUUAUUAACUUUCAGUUCUUGUAAAUAAGUAUUUUCAAUACGUUGUGCUUUUGAUGUUUUGUACAUUGCAUGUCUUUCAGGAUUUGUAAUAAAAUGUUUAACAGUCAAAAUA